rnacentral:rRNA from 1 species
AUUGAACGCUAGCGGGAUGCCUUACACAUGCAAGUCGAACGAGUGGCGGACGGGUGAGUAAUCUAUCGGAACCUGCCCAAUAGCGGGGGAUAACUACUGGACAGUGUGGCUAAUACCGCAUACUAUCGGCGCGCCCGCUAUGGGAUUAGCUAGUGGGUGGGGUAAAGGCUCACCAAGGCAACGAUCCCUCGCUGGUUUGAGAGGACGACCAGCCACACUGGGACUGAGACACGGCCCAGACUCCUACGGGAGGCAGCAGUGGGGAAUUUUGGACAAUGGGGGAAAGCCUGAUCCAGCCAUGCCGCGUGUAUGAGAAGGCCUUCGGGUUGUAAAGUACUUUUGGCAGAGAAGCGGUAUCUGCAGAAUAAGCACCGGCUAACUACGUGCCAGCAGCCGCGGUAAUAC